GACGAACGCUGGCGGCGUGCCUAAUACAUGCAAGUAGAACGCUGAAGGAGGAGCUUGCUUCUCUGGAUGAGUUGCGAACGGGUGAGUAACGCGUAGGUAACCUGCCUGGUAGCGGGGGAUAACUAUUGGAAACGAUAGCUAAUACCGCAUAAGAGUAGAUGUUGCAUGACAUUUGCUUAAAAGGUGCAAUUGCAUCACUACCAGAUGGACCUGCGUUGUAUUAGCUAGUUGGUGAGGUAACGGCUCACCAAGGCGACGAUACAUAGCCGACCUGAGAGGGGGAGCGGCCACACUGGGACUGAGACACGGCCCAGACUCCUACGGGAGGCAGCAGUAGGGAAACUUCGGCAAUGGACGGAAGUCUGACCGAGCAACGCCGCGUGAGUGAAGAAGGUUUUCGGAUCGUAAAGCUCUGUUGUAAGAGAAGAACGAGUGUGAGAGUGGAAAGUUCACACUGUGACGGUAUCUUACCAGAAAGGGACGGCUAACUACGUG
rnacentral:rRNA from 1 species